AGCCGCGGGGAGGAGGACAUGGUCUUGGGGGGCAUGACUUGGGGGUCCGGGGCUCGCGGAGCCAACCAUGUCUUCUUUCCCAG
rnacentral:miRNA from 1 species